rnacentral:rRNA from 1 species
GACGAACCGUGCAAACGUUAUUCGGAAUCACUGGGCUUAAAGCGCGUGUAGGCGGGCCGGCACGUCGGUCGCUGAAAUCCCCCGGCUCAACCGGGGAAGCGGCGCCGAUACGACCGGCCUGGAGGGGCGUAGGGGGACCUGGAACUUCCGGUGGAGCGGUGAAAUGCGUUGAGAUCGGAAGGAACGCCCGUGGCGAAAGCGAGGUCCUGGACGCCAUCUGACGCUGAGAAGCGAAAGCAUGGGGAGCGAACAGG